rnacentral:tRNA from 1 species
AGGUAAUGAGCUUGAAUAAGCUUAUAUUUUGAAAAUAUAGGAUGGAGCCGAAAACUCUGUUAUCUU